ensembl:lncRNA
GUUUUACAAUAUCACUUUCUAGUUUACUGUAGUUUAUUUGUUUGCAUUGUUAUUAACUUUAUUCUCCUUUUUUGCCCUCAGAAUGGCUACUCCAUAUACUCGUCCAUCAAGAAUUACAUGCAAAUGCAUUCAGACCCGUUUGGUAAAUAAAGCAGAAACAUUCAUAUACACAAGAUCUAAAAUUGAACCUGCAACAUACAGGACAACGUCAGUCUGUGCCCUCACUGAUAAUGCCAACACCUACCUACACAAAAGAUCUGGCCCAGACCCCGAAUUUGAGGAAGGAGCUAGCUACAUUUUAAAGAAUGUGACCGUCUCUACCAGAGAUGGGCAAGCUCAUUUGCUAGUCGGGCCAGCAACACAGAAAUUUCGCACAGCUCCACUUGUGGUCACAGAGGAUGCAGUAAAAGCUGCACAAGAUGCACUCUGUCCACCCUCUACACCCAUGUCUGGCAACGAAGACAACGUGUAUUCAACGCAUGGAUAUAUAACUCUUCAAGGCCAAGUGAAAAAACUACAAAAAGUGAGGAUGACACGAUCAUCAAUUCCCAUUUUAAAUAUAAAGCUGCUGUGUGGUGCUGACCAACUUGAUAUCUCCCUGUGGAAAGAAGAAGCUCUCUGUGGCUUACACAUUGGAGACGACGUAGAGAUCACCCACCUUUAUAGUGACAAGGUGCCUCGAGGAAGAGGAAGUUUUCAUUCCUCUCAGUACACAACUGUUAAGAUUAAGGAGACUCCGCGGAUAAAACAAGAAAUUGAAAUUCUGGGAGUAUCUCAAUCAGAACACACCUACACUCUUCUCAGCACUGAUGACGAAGUCUACACAGUUUCUGCAGAGUUCUACACUGGAAACUUCACCAGUUUCAUUGAGGAAUUACCCAUGAAGAUUCUUGUGGAACAUAUCAACAACCGAAUCGUUGGUGUCACACCACUACUUUAAGCUUCUCCUCCUAACCUGAACUCUUACAAUUUUUCCUGUCAUGUCCAUUUAUUUUAUAUUUUCAACUUUUUAAUAUAUACCUUUCAUGUCAAUUUAUUGCUUUUUAAUACAUAAUUGUUCAUUUAGAUGCAAUUCC